GGGGUCGACGGGACCGGAGGCGCGGUAAGGUGUGGGGGACAGGCGUUAAUCGGAAUGACUGGGCGUAAAGCGUGCGCAGGGGGGUGUGGAAGACCGAUGGGAAAUCCCCGAGCUUAACUUGGGAAUUGCAGUGGUGACUGCACGGCUAGAGUGUGUCAGAGGGGGGUAGAAUGCCACGUGGAGCAGUGAAAUGCGUAGAGAUGUGGAGGAAUACCGAUGGCGAAGGCAGCCCCCUGGGAUAACACUGACGCUCAUGCACGAAAGCGUGGGGAGCAAACAGGAUUAGAUACCCGUGUAGUC
rnacentral:rRNA from 1 species